AACGAACGCUGGCGGCAGGCAUAACACAUGCAAGUCGAACGCCCCGCAAGGGGAGUGGCAGACGGGUGAGUAACGCGUGGGAAUCUACCGUACCCUAGGGAACAACAGUUGGAAACGCGUGGUAAUACCGUAUACGCCCUACGGGGGAAAGAUUUAUCGGGGUAUGAUGAGCCCGCGUUGGAUUAGCUAGUUGGUGGGGUAAAGGCCUACCAAGGCGACGACCCAUAGCUGGCCUGAGAGGAUGAUCAGCCACAUUGGGACUGAGACGCGGACCAUACUCCGACGGGAGGCAGCAGUGGAGAAUAGUGGACAAUGGGCGCAAGCCUGAUCCAGUCAUGCCGCGUGGGUGAUGAAGGUCUUAGGAUUGUAAAGCUCUAUCACCGAUGAAGAUAAUGACGGUAGUCGAAGAAGAAGCCCCGGCUAACUUCGUGCCAGCCGCCGCGGUAA
rnacentral:rRNA from 1 species